rnacentral:rRNA from 1 species
CUCAGUGAUUGCUUAAAUAGCCGCAGUAUUUUGACUGUGCUAAGGUAGCAUAAUAAAUUGUUCUUAUAAUAGAAGACUGGAAUGAAAGAGGGAACGCCGCUUUAACUUUUUUCACCCCCUCCCCUGAAAUUGAUUUUUUUGUUAAAAAGCAAAACUUUUUGGAAAGACGACAAGACCUCGUGAAGCUUUUCUAAACCACGCCGCACCAAUUUUAAAUUCAAACCCGUGUUUUUUAGGUGGACUGGGGCGGUUCCUUUAAUGUCAAAAGCAAAUUUAACAACCCUUGAAUACUUCCCCCCCCCCGCAAGAAAGAUCUUAAUUAAAAAAAAUUAACCAGCUACUCCGGGGAUAACAGCACAAUUCUUUUGAAGAGAUCUUAUCGAUAAAAGAGACUUGUGACCUCGAUGUUGAAUUUGAGGAGCUUACUGCGAGCAGCCCCGCAGAAAAAGAGGUCUGUUCGACCUUUAAAUCCCC